rnacentral:rRNA from 1 species
GAAUCAACGCUGGCGGCGUGCCUCAGACAUGCAAGUCGAACGAUUAAAGCUCGUCUUCGGAGAGUGUAUAGAGUGGCGCACGGGUGAGUAACACGUAAGUAAGUCUACCUUCGAGUGGGGAAUAACGUCCGGAAACGGACGCUAAUACCGCAUAAUGCAGCGGCAUCGCAAGAUGACAGUUGUUAAAGAUUUAUCGCUUGAAGAGGAGCUUGCGG